UACGGGGGGGGGCAAGCGUUGUUCGGAAUUACUGGGCGUAAAGGGCUCGUAGGUGGCCAACUAAGUCAUACGUGAAAUCCCUCGGCUUAACCGGGGAACUGCGUCUGAUACUGGAUGGCUUGAGGUUGGGAGAGGGAUGCGGAAUUCCAGGUGUAGCGGUGAAAUGCGCAGAUAUCGGGAGGAACACCGGUGGCGAAGGCGGUUCUCUGGGCCUUACCUGACGCUGAGGAGCGAAAGCGUGGGGAGCGAACAGG
rnacentral:rRNA from 1 species